GCGGGAUUGAUGUAGCGGUAACAUGACACCCUUCCACGGUGAUCUCCCCGGUUCGAAUCCGGGAUCCCGCUCCA
rnacentral:tRNA from 1 species